rnacentral:rRNA from 1 species
UCCGUAGGUGAACCUGCGGAAGGAUCAUUAAUGAACAUGAACCUUGAGGCUGUCGCUGGCCCAUCUGGGCAUGUGCACGUCUCUGGUCAUUACCAAUUCCACCUGUGCACACUUGUAGACACUUGGGAAUGAGAGACUUUAACCCGGUCUCUUGAGAGAAAUAGAAGUCUGGGUGUCUAUGCCAUUUUAUUAAACACUAGUUGCAUAUGUCUAUAGAAUGAUGAUUUGAUUGUAUAUAAAGUACAACUUUCAACAACGGAUCUCUUGGCUCUCGCAUCGAUGAAGAACGCAGCGAAAUGCGAUAAGUAAUGUGAAUUGCAGAAUUCAGUGAAUCAUCGAAUCUUUGAACGCACCUUGCGCUCCUUGGCAUUCCAAGGAGCAUGCCUGUUUGAGUGUCAUUGAAAUCUCAAGGCCUGUCUGAAUUUGAUAGGUAUUGGAUUUUGGGGGUUGCAGGCUUUUUUAAAAAAAAUAGCCUGCUCUCCUUGAAUGUAUUAGUGGAGAAAAGGCCAUUUGAACUCCAUUGGUGUGAUAUAAGCUAUCAAUGCCAGGAGUAUGUUGGUCCUAUCUGCUGUCUAACUGUUUGGAAAGACCAGACAACUUGACCCAACUUGACCUCAAAUCAGGUAGGACUACCCGCUGAACUUAAGCAUAUCAAUAAGCG